rnacentral:lncRNA from 1 species
GGGUUCAGUUUCUCCGCUCUCGAAGAGCGAAACUGAGAAUCGAAACUGCGCUGGAUUCCAUGCAGCAGGAUCCGGAACCUGCCGGAUCUCCGGGGCCCCAGCAGGACCCCGCACUGCCCCACUCCCCCAGCAUGCCUCCCCCGGAGGCACUCUCCGAAGGCCACCAGUCCAGCCAUAGCGACAGCCCCACAGAGCAAGCCACGGAGGAAGAGUUCCAGUUCUUGCGCUGCCAGGGCUGCCGGGCAGAAGCUAAGUGCCCCAAGCUGCUGCCUUGUCUGCAUACGCUGUGCUCAGGAUGCCUGGAGGAGUCCGGCAUACAGUGCCCCGUCUGCCAGGCUCCCUGGCCCUCAGGUGCCGGCGCGCAGGCCCUGGACAACGUCUUCUUCGAGAGCCUGCAGCGGCGGCUGUCGGUGUACCAGCAGAUCGCACGCGAGCAGGCGUUUUGCACCCGCUGCAAAGAGCUGGCCCACUACUGGUGCUUCGAGUGUGAGCAGCUCAUCUGCGCCAAGUGCUUCGAGGCGCACCAGUGGUUCCUCAAGCACGAGGCCCGGCCGCUGGCGGAGCUCCGCAGCCAGUCGGUGCGGGAGUUUCUGGACGGCACCCGCAAGUCCAACAACAUCUUCUGCUCCAACCCCAACCACCGCAGCCCUAUGCUGACCAGCAUCUACUGCCGAGGCUGCUCCAAGCCCUUGUGCUGCUCGUGCGCUCUCCUGGAUAGGGACCACGGCGAGCUCAAGUGCGACAUCAGCAUGGAGAUCCAGCAGCGGCAGGAUGAGCUGGACACCAUGACCCAGGACCUGCAGGAGCAGGACCGCAGCUUCGGGGCAGCGCAGGCGCAGAUGCGCUCUGCCAUCAGCCAGCUGGGCCGUGUACGCGCCGACACUGAGGAGUUCAUCCGUGAGCGCGUGCGCGAGGUGGUAGCGCACGUGCUAGAGCAGGAGCGUGAGCUGCUGGAAGGCGUGGGUGCGCGGUACCAGCGCGACUAUGAAGAGAUAGCGGGCCAGCUGGGCCGGCUGGAUGCUGUACUGCAGCGGAUCCGUAUGGGCAGCGUGCUGGUGCAGAGGAUGAAACUAUACGCCUCGGAUCAGGAGGUGCUGGACAUGCAUGACUUCCUGCGCAAGGCACUCCACCAGCUGCGCCAAGAGGAGCCCCAGAGUCUGCGAGCCACUGUGCACACAGACAGCUUCAACGAAUUCAGGGUGCGCCUGCAGGGCCUCGUCUCUUGCAUCACCCAGGGUAGAGAUGCAGCUCUAUCCAGGAGAGCCAGCCCAGAAGCUGCCAGCACUCCCAGAGACACUUGUGGCCCUGACCCGGAGGGCACCCACACGCAGAAGAGGAAGGCCUGCCAGACCGAGUGCCCCCGGAAGGUCAUCAAGAUGGAGUCUGAGGAGGGGGAAGAGUCUAGGUUGGCUCAGAGCUCCCCUGAGCAGCCCAGGCCCAGCACCUCCAGGGCAGUCUCGCCACCCCACCUGGAUGGGCCCUCCAGCCCCAAGAGCCCCAUCAUAAGAGAUGAGCUCCCCUUGCCUGAAAGCAACCAUCAAACCGGCGACCCUGCAGAGACAGAGGAGCGCGUCGUGGUGAUCAGCAGCUCGGAAGACUCAGAUGCUGAAAACCCGCGUGCGGAGCCCACUGAGACCGCCGUCCUGCCUCCUUCCUCAUCCAUCCAACCCCCGCCGAGAGCUCGCCGAGCGUCCCACUCCCUCCGGGCCUCUCGUCUGUCCCAUGGCACAUGCCGCCCCUCGGCUUGGCCUCCCCACCAUCCUGCCGAGCAAGCUGCCAUCCCCGACGCUGAGAGUCCCAGCCAGCCUGCCGGUCACCAGGAGCAAGCUGCCGUCCACCGUGGGAUCAGCUUCCUGUCACGUGGGGCGCAAAGAGCCCUGCGCCCUCGCAGCACCUUUCACCUGCCCCUCAAAACGUAUGGUGCCCACAGGUGGCCUUGGCCUCCGUCCAUGGGUCAAGCCACCACCCCGGCCACCACUGGGCCUCCCAGCCAACCUGCCAAUCCCCAGGAGGAUCCCACCUGCCCCCAAAGGGCCAGCGGCCAACCCCACCUGGUGCAACUGGCUGCACGACCCCUUGACCCCUUCCCUGCUGUGUCCCAGUGGCUCAACAUCUUUCCCCUUCCUCACCCCCCUGGGAUCUCCCAGCGUAACACCUUUUAUAGGAGAAUAAUGCGGGGAGGCAGAGCAUCCCAAAUUCCUGGAGCAGGGGUCUCCCCUGGGGAUUCUGGCAGGGCCCCCAUGGAAAAUCCCCCAGUCCAGGUCCCCCCGGAGGCCUCUCCAAGUGCAUUCCUACCACUCCACCCUCUGGAGAGGCCACCCAUCAGCACAGACACCCCGCAGACAAGCCUCUGAGUGUCCCAAGCGCCUCCCUCCUCUGCAGCCCUGGAGCUUGGCAGGUUGGCAUCCCAAACGUCUUGUCACAGAAUGAAGCAGGGAAUGCAUGGCUCCAUGGACCUCUGAACAAAGAGGGUUAAGGCCUCCCCAGUCAGGAUAUUCUCGUUCCUCACAUCCUCAAGUCUCUUUGCCCAAGACAAGGAAGCUUCUCGCACCCUUUGCAACUCCCACAGCCCCAUUCUCCCGCCCCAAGCUUUCCCACUGGGCCUCUGCCAGGAUGUAAGCCCAUGAGGGCAGGGACUGUGUGGCUCCCAGGCCCUGGCAGGUGCAGCUGCUCAAUAAACACUUAUUGAACAAUUACCCUCGCA